GGACAUGGCUCAGUUGGUAGAGCACAACCUUGCCAAGGUUGGGGUCGCGGGUUCGAGUCCCGUUGUCCG
rnacentral:tRNA from 2 species